rnacentral:rRNA from 1 species
ACGCUAGCUACAGGCUUAACACAUGCAAGUCGAGGGGAAACGGCAUUUAGUGCUUGCACUGAAUGGACGUCGACCGGCGCACGGGUGAGUAACGCGUAUCCAACCUUCCCAUUACUGUGGGAUAACCUGCCGAAAGGCAGACUAAUACCGCAUAGUCUUCGAUGACGGCAUCAGAUUUGAAGUAAAGAUUUAUCGGUAAUGGAUGGGGAUGCGUCUGAUUAGCUUGUUGGCGGGGUAACGGCCCACCAAGGCAACGAUCAGUAGGGGUUCUGAGAGGAAGGUCCCCCACAUUGGAACUGAGACACGGUCCAAACUCCUACGGGAGGCAGCAGUGAGGAAUAUUGGUCAAUGGGCGAGAGCCUGAACCAGCCAAGUAGCGUGCAGGAUGACGGCCCUAUGGGUUGUAAACUGCUUUUGUAUGGGGAUAAAGUCAAUCACGUGUGAUUGUUUGCAGGUACCAUACGAAUAAGGACCGGCUAAUUCCGUGCCAGCAGCCGCGGUAAUACGGAAGGUCCGGGCGUUAUCCGGAUUUAUUGGGUUUAAAGGGAGCGUAGGCCGGAGAUUAAGUGUGUUGUGAAAUGUAGACGCUCAACGUCUGACUUGCAGCGCAUACUGGUUUCCUUGAGUACGCACAACGUUGGCGGAAUACGUCGUGUAGCGGUGAAAUGCUUAGAUAUGACGAAGAACUCCGAUUGCGAAGGCAGCUGACGGGAGCGCAACUGACGCUUAAGCUCGAAGGUGCGGGUAUCGAACAGGAUUAGAUACCCUGGUAGUCCGCACAGUAAACGAUGGAUGCCCGCUGUUGGUACCUGGUAUCAGCGGCUAAGCGAAAGCAUUAAGCAUCCCACCUGGGGAGUACGCCGGCAACGGUGAAACUCAAAGGAAUUGACGGGGGCCCGCACAAGCGGAG